rnacentral:rRNA from 1 species
GAGUUUGAUCCUGGCUCAGGACGAACGCUGGCGGCGUGCUUAACACAUGCAAGUCGAACGAGGAACUUUAUUUCGGUAAAGUUCCGAGUGGCAAACGGGUGAGUAACGCGUAGGCAACCUGCCAUAGAGAUGGGGACAACAGAGCGAAAGCUCUGCUAAUACCGAAUGAACUGCGAGCUUCACAUGGAGCCUGCAGCAAAGAUGGCCUCUAUUUAUAAGCUAUCGCUCUAUGAUGGGCCUGCGUCUGAUUAGCCAGUUGGUGAGGUAACGGCUCACCAAAGCGACGAUCAGUAGCCGGUCUGAGAGGAUGAACGGCCACAUUGGGACUGAGACACGGCCCAAACUCCUACGGGAGGCAGCAGUGGGGAAUCUUCCACAAUGGACGAAAGUCUGAUGGAGCAACGCCGCGUGAGUGAACAAGGUCUUCGGAUCGUAAAGCUCUGUUGUCGGGGACGAAUGU